rnacentral:rRNA from 1 species
CACGUAGGGCGCGAGCGUUGUCCGGAAUUAUUGGGCGUAAAGAGCUCGUAGGCGGCCUGUUGCGUCCGCUGUGAAAGCCCGGGGCUUAACCCCGGGUCGGCAGUGGAUACGGGCAGGCUAGAGGUAGGUAGGGGAGAAUGGAAUUCCCGGUGUAGCGGUGAAAUGCGCAGAUAUCGGGAGGAACACCUAUGGCGAAGGCAGCUCGCUGGGACGUUACUGACGCUGAGACGCGAAAGCGUGGGGAGCAAACAGG